rnacentral:other from 1 species
AAAUUCCUGUUUUGCGCGUUUGUGAGCAUAUAUUGCUCCAACAUCUAGAUGAUAGGGAGCCUUUCUCUUUUAGUAGAAUGAAAUUCAUGUUUUUAUGAAAUACAAGAAGCUAAAAGGAGGACACCCACUUUGGUUGAACUGGGUUCAAUCAUAGGCUCAUUGAACGGCAAGAUGGGAUUUCU